rnacentral:rRNA from 1 species
UACGUAGGGUGCAAGCGUUAAUCGGAAUUACUGGGCGUAAAGCGUGCGCAGGCGGCUUUGCAAGACAGAUGUGAAAUCCCCGGGCUUAACCUGGGAACUGCAUUUGUGACUGCAUCGCUCGAGUAUGGCAGAGGGGGGUAGAAUUCCACGUGUAGCAGUGAAAUGCGUAGAGAUGUGGAGGAAUACCGAUGGCGAAGGCAGCCCCCUGGGUCAAUACUGACGCUCAUGCACGAAAGCGUGGGGGAGCAAACAGG